rnacentral:rRNA from 1 species
CAGUCGCCGCGGGAACACCGAGGGUGCAAGCGUUAAUCGGAAUUACUGGGCGUAAAGCGCGCGUAGGUGGUUUGUUAAGUUGGAUGUGAAAUCCCCGGGCUCAACCUGGGAACUGCAUCCAAAACUGGCAAGCUAGAGUAUGGUAGAGGGUGGUGGAAUUUCCUGUGUAGCGGUGAAAUGCGUAGAUAUAGGAAGGAACACCAGUGGCGAAGGCGACCACCUGGACUGAUACUGACACUGAGGUGCGAAAGCGUGGGGAGCAAACAGGAUUAGAUACCCCAGUAGUCCCUGUCUCUUAUAC